ACAUCUUGCUGAGGACCCGUCAACAACACCUUCUGUAAUGACAACCGGGCGCAGAGUCCCUCCCUCCCUCCCUAUAUAUUCUGCGUGUACUGAGGUAGGCCAGCUUUGCCAGGGCCUGCCAGCCACAGGGGUCUGCUUCCCAGCAGCGGUUGCCUGCAGGGGCAGCAAAGAACCAAAUGAGAGAAAGACAAGCUGAAAACAGAGCCCUGGUCGCCAGAUGAGCGCGGAUGAAAGGACAGUGAGAUGAGUCAGAAAAUGGCCAAGGAGGGCCCCAGGCUCUCCAAGAACCAGAAGUUCUCGGAGCAUUUCAGCAUUCACUGCUGCCCGCCCUUCACCUUCCUCAACUCCAAGCGGGAGAUCGUGGAUCGCAAGUACAGCAUCUGUAAGAGCGGCUGCUUCUACCAGAAGAAAGAGGAGGACUGGAUCUGCUGCGCCUGCCAGAAGACCAGCCGCCGUGCCACGUCCCCUCAGAGGCCCAAGCAGCAGCCGGCCGCGUCCCCCGUGGUGGUCAGAGCGCCGCCCGCCAAGCCAAGGUCCCCUCCGAGGCCAGCCAAGCCAAGGUCCCCUCCGAGGCCAGCCAAGCCAAGGUCCCCUCCGAGGACUGAGCGCCAGCCGCGUCCCCGCCCAGAGGCCCGGCCACCUCCAGCCAAGCAGAAGCCCCCCCAGAAGCCUAAGCAGCCAGCUCGCAGCAGCCCCCACAGAGGGCCGGGCGCCAGCCGCGGGGCGCCUCCCACCAGGCCGGCUAGGCUCUGGUAACACCAGCUCUUGCCUUUUUGCCCCGCCCCCAGACCCCGGCGUAAGAUUGAAAAGAAGGAGCAGGUCAACUCCAAGAAAAAAGUGACGGAGAAGGGAUUUCCCGUGAAUGGACAGCCUCUGCCUGUGGACUUUCUGCUUUGAAACCCAUCUGCCCUCAGACAAGUUAUCUGGCCUCAAGUAUGACGCAGGAGCAGUCACCUGCUGAUGCAAGGACACAAACGCCCUCAGUCCCCGAGGUGUGGGAGCCUCAGGGCAGCCUGCCAGGAGCACUUUGACCAUUUAUCCGCCUCCCUCUGUGAUUGCCACCGAGAGGUAUGCUGUCAAUCUCCUUGACCCCCCACGGACUCAGGUUCUUCAGACUGAAGAUUUGUGUGUCUUCAGGGAUGCGCAAAACAAGUUCAUUUUGCACAACCAUCCAAAUGGCAAAUAUAAAACAGAGAAAUUGUCAAGGAUUGGCAGUGAUGUGGGGAAAAUCCUAGCAGCUACUGAUGGGGAUUCACACAUUGUCAUAACACCACUGCGCUGUACUCCGGGGACACUAGCAAGGCAGAAUGGCUUAAACCCUCUAAUCAAGUGACUAUAAUUUUAGGCAUCCAUCUUGGGAAAACUUACACGCUUUUAGAGAAAGGAGAAAUAUACAAAUUUGCUUUAAAGAUCAUGGUUUAUAGUUAGAGAUAAAAAUGAAAUUAACCAAAAUGUCUAUCCAUGGGGGAAUGAGAGAAUCAAUUUUGGGAUAUUCAUAACUAAAGUCUUAACAAUAGUUAAAAACCAAUCUGUCAGAUAGACGCAUGUCAAGCAGGUAAAUCUAGGAAGCAAAGCGAGGGCUGUAAAAAUCAAGCACUGGGCCAGUAAAUCCAGGAUGACAUCCUAUGCAUAAAUAUCGACAGCUCACAAUCCUGUGUCAGUUUUUGCUCAAAAAGGAGAAGCCGUAGGAUCUCAUACUUUUUCUAUAAUUCAAUAGAGUUUUAAAAUGACAGCAAAGUACAAAAACUUUAGAAGUGUAUCCUCUCAGGAACAAAAGUAUGAGAACUAAUUCCUGGCUUGAGGAAAUAACCCAGACUGAAAGCUGCAUAGGAAUGGUUUAACAAUACUGACGGAACACGUAUUUGUUGGGAGAAAGUAAACGGGAAAUUUGUGAAUGUCCUGGCAUGCUUCCCAUGUCCUAUACAUCUCAAACACCAAAAAUACUUGUUUUGAAUCAGUUCUGGCUCUGGGCUAGAGUCCGGCUUGCGAUGGCUCCUGGCUGGGAGAAAAGGGAACAUUGAACACAGCUGUCAGAUGUCCCUUUAGGGGACAGGUAGGUGGGAAGGGACACAGAAUGUUGGGGAGUGUGGAGGGAUGUGAAGUGGACAGUAGGAGGGGGGAGGGGACUCAGCGCAGGGACAAGAAGGGCAUCAGAAGUGGCCCCCACCGGGAGCUGGGGUGGCCGACCACAGCGGAUACCCGGAGACCCCAGUGGCCACUGCAUCUGAACAGCCAGACUGGGCGCAGUUCAGAUUCAAGUGCAUGGAUGGGGCCGUGUCAGUGCAAACUGUCCGAGGUGUGGAGCUGGGGUGAGAGGAAGACAGUCAGGAGGAAGGAAGAGGUGGCUCAGAACGCUGCACCCCAGCAGGACCAAGCAGGCCACAUACUGGACCCUCCUGCCGCCAUCCUCACCUGAGGACACAAACUUCAUGCAGAAACUCAGGUGCGAAAGGAAGCUCGAUAGGCCCCAGCUGCGAGUGCCCUGCCCGUUACCUUCCUGAGAGAAACCGGGCUGGGAGAAUGGGGAAGAGCACAGGAGCUCGCUGGAGAGGCGGCUCCUGGUCUAGCUUCACCCAACCCAUUAAGGAAGCCUCAUGCUUUCAUCUUGUUUUGAUUUGGCAAAACAAACCCCAUCUCGGUGCUUGCUCGUCUCUGCUACCCAAGACACAGGGCGUGUGUUAACCCCAUAGUACUGGAAAUCAGCCCAUUAAAUGAGUAACCAGAGGCGACUAAGCUUUGUCUGUCUGUUGUAGAAAUAAAGGCCAGGGAUGGCUCAAACCUACCUGGAGAUUGCUUGACGCCGGUGGGUCGCUAAUCAUGCGCCUUGGGUUCCUGACUGAGCCGUGCAGUAAUCGUUAUGAAACAUUUUUCUACUUAACUAUGGCUUCCAGGAACAGUCCUCAGUACAUAUUGGAGAAAUGACACGAAACUCCAAAAGCCGUCCUGCGCAAGUUUCUUGAGUAGGAAUUCAUAGCCGCAACGUCUGACAUCACUCUGAUGUUAACUAAUCUUCUGUUUUGGAAGAAACUGAGGCAGGUGCCUGGAGCUGUUGAGGUCUCCAGGUAGGAAACCCUGGGUCACAGCAUUUGCCGACUCCCGUGUUCUCCUCACGCUCUUGCAGCGAUGAUGUUCACAGUGGGAGUGGAUGGGAGGAGAUUGCGGAGCUGGCUCUCAAAUCCAGCUCACUGUUCUCCCCCGGUCACUGUCUUCAUUUAACUCUGAGCUGGCACAUGCUGGCACAAGACAGCUAGGAGGUGUGGGCCUCUAAGAAACCAGAGCUUAAUAUAGGAAGCCCCAGGCUGGAAAUGUCUUAAUGGCCAGAGCACUGGCUGCUCCUCCAGAGGACCUGGGUUCGGGUCCCAGCACCACAUGGUGGCUCACAACCAUCCAUUGAGUCCAGGCCGUGGGCAUCUGAUGUUCCCCUCCGGGCCUCCAUGGGCACUGUAUAGGCCUGGUGCUCAUACAAGUGUACACAAACGCUCGUACACAUAAAAUUAAAAAAUGUAUGUUUAAUACAUAAUGUCACUAUCAAAGAAAAGCUACACAGGAGAUACAACAAAUUCAGGUUAUGGCUCUUCAGAGGAGAAAUUUGACACAGGAUUAAAAAAUUGUUAUCGUGGACAAGAUCUCACUAGGUAGCCCUGCCUGGCCCAAAUUCCCUGUAUAGGCCGGGUUGGCAUCCAACUCAGGACACCUGCAUGACUCAACACAGAAUUUUAUUAAUUUGAGAAAUGGUAAAUGUUUCUACAUUUUGCCAUUGCUAUUUAAUUUUUUAUCUUUUUUUGCAGGGGAGCUAGGUUUUCGAGACAGUGUUUCUCUGUGUAGCCCCUUGGCUGUCCUGGACUCACUGUGUAGACCAGGCUGGCCUGGAACUCACAGAGAUCCCCUGCCUCUGCCUCCACAAGUGCUGGGAUUACAGGUGUGCCCCACCGCCUGGCAUGUUUUUCAGUCUUUUAAGUUGGCACACAGAGUAAUGAGUUUCAUGGAGAUGCUUCCAUGCAUGUGUGAAGUGCAGCUAUAGCCCUGUGCUCUGCUCUUGGUCACCCCUGCCAUCCUGUUCCUUUCCGCUCCCCUAAUGCCAGCUUCUUCCCCUGUGCCAACCGUCCUGCCUGCUCUCAGAUGUCAGGUGCAGUUCACCACCCUCGGCUGUCCCGCCUUUGUCAUCAUUAUCCUUAGUCAAGAAGCUCAAGGGACUAAGUCGGUAAAUACAUUUACUUGUUUACUGUGUGUGUACGUGUGUGUUUGUGUGAAUGUGUUUGUGUGAGUGUGAGACUGUGGGUGUGUUUGUGUGAAUACACACAGUAUGUGUGCACACACACCACACACACACACCACACACACACACACCACCACACACACACACACACACACACCACACACACACACACACACACACACGCACACACACACACCACACACACACACACACACACACACGCACACGCACACACACACCACACACACACACACACACACACACACCACACACACACACACACACACACACACACGCACACACACACGCACACACACACACACCACACACACACACACACACACACACACACACGCACACACACACACGCACACACACACACCAGCCAGAGGGCAGCUUGCAGAAGCUGAUUCUUUCUCCCCUGUGUGUCCUGGGAUGCAGCCUUCUGGCAGCGCGUACCUCACCUGAUGAGCCAUCUCUCCAGCUCUGAGCUCUUGGUUUUGGGGGAAUUCUCUGAGAAACUGGGGCUCUUUUCCUUUCAGAUAUUGGUGUUGCAGCAACGGAGACCUAAGAACUAGAAUCUGGACACUGUGGAGCCAGUUUCAGGAUGGCUGAGAGGGUCGUGAGCUGUGGGUGGGAUGGAGCCCUGGGCAACGCUGGAAUGUAGGCCUGUGGUUCGCAGGAUGAUGACGGCCUUUUGUAGUCCUUAACAAUCGAGCAAAUAAGGGGGAAAAGUCGCUCAGAAGUUGAAGAAUAUUACUAAACUUAAAAAAAAAACAACAACAA